rnacentral:rRNA from 1 species
CGUAGGGUGCGAGCGUUAAUCGGAAUUACUGGGCGUAAAGCGUGCGCUAGGCGGUUUUGUAAGACAGAUGUCGAAAUCCCCGGGCUCAACCUGGGACCUGCAUUUGUGACUGCAAGGCUAGAGUACGGUAGAGGGGGAUGGAAUUCCGCGUGUAGCAGUGAAAUGCGUAGAUAUGCGGAGGAACACCGAUGGCGAAGGCAAUCCCCUGGACCUGUACUGACGCUCAUGCACGAAAGCGUGGGGAGCAAACAGGAUUAGAUACCCUGGUAGUCCACGCCCUAAACGAUGUCAACUGGUUGUUGGGUCUUUACUGACUCAGUAACGAAGCUAACGCGUGAAGUUGACCGCCUGGGGAGUACGGCCGCAAGGUUG